UCUCCCUAAAUCUCUGACCUCUGAUUUUUUUUUCCCCACUGUGACUACAGAAUGGAGACGCAGCAGCUUCACUGACUGUGGCUGAGCAGUACGUCAGCGCCUUCUCCAAACUGGCCAAGGAUUCCAACACCGUCCUCCUGCCCUCCAAUCCCAGCGAUGUGACAAGUAUGGUGGCUCAGGCCAUGGGUGUCUAUGGCGCUCUCACCAAAGCCCCAGUGCCCGGAGCGCAGAACUCCAGCGAGGCCAGAAGAGAUGUCCAGACUACAGACACGAGUAUUGAAGAACUGGGCAGAGUCAAGCUCAGUUAGUAGAGACGGCUCGGCCAGAGUUAGGGCCGGGAACUCUCAGAUUCUGGCUCCAGCCUCCCGGCCAAAGUUUAGUUUUUAUUUUUUUAUUUGAACUUAAUAAUCAUGUAAUAAACUCACCAGUGGCAAAUUG
rnacentral:lncRNA from 1 species